AACGAACGCUGGCGGCAUGCCUAACCCCUCCCCGUCGCACGCGACCUUCGGGUCUUGUAUCUCUCGUGUGCGUAACGCGUGAGUACCUUCCCUUAGGUUCUGACUACCUCCCCGCCUGGGGUGCUACUUCCCUUUAAUGUCUUCGGUCCAAAGAUUUCUCGCCUUUGGAUGGGCCCGCGUUGGAUUAGCUAGUUGGUAGGGUAAAAGCCUACCAAGGCGAUGAUCCAUAGCUGGUCUGAGAGGAUGAGCAGCCACACUGGGACUGAGAAACGGCCCAGACUCCUACGGGAGGCAGCAGUGGGGAAUAUUGGACAAUGGGCGAAAGCCUGAGCCAGCAAUGCCGCGGGAGGGAUGAAGGCCUGAGGGUUGUAAAGCUCUUUUACCCGGGAUGAUAAUGACAGUACCGGGAGAAUAAGCGCCGGCUAACUCCGUG
rnacentral:rRNA from 1 species